UGAGGUGGGUGCGCAGGUGUAGAGGAA
rnacentral:piRNA from 1 species